UUUUUUCUCGAACAUGCAGGAGAGCUGCAUAUCAUUGUAUUAAUAGAAAGAGGAGUCUUAAAGAGACCCAAACACCCACCCACCCACCCACUAAACCUACAACAACUUAAUCACCUAUGCUUGUCAAGAAAGACCUGACCACAACACCUACUAAGCUACAACAGCACUGGCUCUGUGCAAGGAUAGACCCUUAGCACCAGCUAAACUCCACAAAUGGGCUUCCUCCCUGGCACAGGCUAGAGCUGCAGCUGACUGUCAAAGCCGCAUUGUCCCACCGGGCAUCAAAGGAAGGAUCGUCAGGCUGUGGAGCAAGUGUUGCAAGGCCAACACAACAGUCUGCAGAAGUUCAAACCUGAAUUGUCUUGCAAACACACAUCCUAUUUAUUGGGCCUUUUGUGUUCAUGCCCCUACUUUGAAGGCCAAUUAUUACUUUGCCCUUGUUUUUUCAACUCUUAGUUUGCCCUUACCUAUGCAAACUGAAGAUUGAUUUUGUUCAAUUGUUCUUAUCCCAUUAAGAGCUUGUCAAUUCAGCUAUAAAAAGAUAAGUAUGCCCUUGCGGAUUUGAUCCUA